UUGCUUUAGGGAUGGAAUGAUAUCCCCUGAUAUUCACUUCACCCUCUUCACUUUGUCAGCGAUUUCAUUAGUCUGACUAGUUUUACAAGUUGCUGAUCAUUUAUGGGUGGGAGAUCU